UGGGGAAUAUUGGACAAUGGGCGCAAGCCUGAUCCAGCAAUACCGCGUGUGUGAAGAAGGCCUUCGGGUUGUAAAGCACUUUCGUGGGGGAAGAAGUGUAUUUUGCGAAUAGUGAAGUAUGUUGACGUUACCCCAAGAAGAAGCACCGGCUAACUCUGUGCCAGCAGCCGCGGUAAUACAGAGGGUGCGAGCGUUAAUCGGAAUUACUGGGCGUAAAGGGUGCGUAGGUGGUUAGAGAAGUUGGGCGUGAAACCCCUGGGCUUAACCUAGGAAGUGCGUUCAAAACUGGCUAGCUAGAGUAUGGUAGAGGUAAGCGGAAUUUCCGGUGUAGCGGUGAAAUGCGUAGAUAUCGGAAGGAACAUCAGUGGCGAAGGCGGCUUACUGGACUGAUACUGACACUGAGGCACGAGAGCGUGGGGAGCAAACAGGAUUAGAUACCCCCGUAGUCC
rnacentral:rRNA from 1 species